rnacentral:rRNA from 1 species
AGCCGCGGUAAAACGUAGGACGCGAGCGUUAUCCGGAGUUACUGGGCGUAAAGGGCGCGUAGGCGGUGGGAUAAGCGUGUGGUGAAAGCCCGGGGCUCAACCCCGGGUCUGCCGUGCGAACUGUUUCACUUGAGCACUGUAGAGGCAGGUGGAAUUCCGGGUGUAGCGGUGGAAUGCGUAGAGAUCCGGAAGAACAUCGGUGGCGAAGGCGGCCUGCUGGGCAGUGUCUGACGCUGAGGCGCGACAGCGUGGGGAGCAAACA